UCAAUAGCUAGAUUAGUUUUUGAAAUAUAUGAUACUAGCGGUUGACCCGAUAGCUAUGAACCGGAAUUAACAUAGCUCCGAAACCGGAAGUGGAAUCGCCAUCUGGUCUUUUAUUUACUGCCCGGUCCGAGCUACCUCAUAACACCAAAUUUCAGCAUCGGGACAGCCCUUGUGUAGCCGCCAACCCUGAACAGAAGGUCUGACAGACAAACAAAUGGCAGUCACAAAUUAGUAUAAACUGAUCAAAAAUAACUACAUUUAUUUUCUUGAUGAGGGUGAUAAUGUCUCUUUAAGAGAGGUAACCCCUCUGUUCCCCAGCUAGCUACGACACCGUUUAUCGCUUAUCAGUUACUGUCUUGAAACAAACUAUUAUAUUUAUUUUUGUUCAAAGUUUAUUGCUGGAUAUAAUUUUAGGCCUAUUAUAUUGAUAUGAGAAAGGUGCACCGCUAUUAUAACUACCUAUAAUAAUAAUGUUUUGGUUGAUAUCCUCUUACCUAUUAUAAUGAAUGACGUAUAGUUUUAAAAAACAGAAACAGUACCGCAUGAUAUCAUCAACGAAACCGUCAUACAGUAAGAUAAUAUCGUCGUGAAGGAUUAAAUCAAAUAGUUUAUGUCUGGUACAUAGCAAACGGUGACCUACCUGGUAUACAAGAUAUGGCCCAUAUUAGGAGAUAUGGUACUCACCAACUGGACUAUGCAACAGUACGUGACCACUGUCUGAAGACCAGGUCAUUAUUUGUUGACCCUGACUUUCCACCGGAAGAGAGGUCUUUAUACAUCGAUGGCCAAAGAGAUCGACAAUUUGGGCGGGUAGUCUGGAAAAGACCACGGGACAUUUGUAGUCGGCCAAGAUUUGUGGUUGGUAAUAUAGACCGACAUGACCUAGACCAAGGAUAUAUAGGAGACUGUUGGUUUGUGGCCGCAGCAGCUACAUUAUGCACAUCACAUAGAAAUAUAUUUGAGCGUGUUGUUCCAAUAGAUCAAACAUUUGAUACAGGAUAU